GAAAUUCGCCUUCAUGAAGCCGGAAUUGCUAGUAAUGGCAGGUCAGCAUACUGCCGUGAAUACGUUCCCGGGCCUUGUACACACCGCCCGUCACACCAUGAGAGUUGGGAUACCCGAAGCCUGUGAGCUAACAGUAAUGAAGCAGCAGUCGAAGGUAGAAUCAAUGAUUGGGGUGAAGUCGUAACAAGGUAAC
rnacentral:rRNA from 1 species